rnacentral:rRNA from 1 species
AACGAACGCUGGCGGCAGGCCUAACACAUGCAAGUCGAGCGCACCUUCGGGUGAGCGGCGGACGGGUUAGUAACGCGUGGGAACGUACCCUUUUCUACGGAAUAGCCUUUGGAAACGAAGAGUAAUACCGUAUACGCCCUUUGGGGGAAAGAUUUAUCGGAGAAGGAUCGGCCCGCGUUAGAUUAGAUAGUUGGUGGGGUAACGGCCUACCAAGUCUACGAUCUAUAGCUGGUUUUAGAGGAUGAUCAGCAACACUGGGACUGAGACACGGCCCAGACUCCUACGGGAGGCAGCAGUGGGGAAUCUUAGACAAUGGGCGCAAGCCUGAUCUAGCCAUGCCGCGUGAGUGAUGAAGGCCUUAGGGUCGUAAAGCUCUUUCGCCUGUGAUGAUAAUGACAGUAGCAGGUAAAGAAACCCCGGCUAACUCCGUGCCUGCG